UGGGGUGUAGCUCAGUGACAGAGUGCUUAUCUAGCAUGUGCAAGGCCCUGGGUUCAAUCCCCAGUACCACAA
rfam:Ictidomys tridecemlineatus contig029692, whole genome shotgun sequence.